GGUGGAUUGCUUGAGGUCAGGAGUUUGAGACCAGCCUGGCCAACAUGGUGAAACCCUGUCUCUACUAAAAAUACAAAAAUUAGCUGGGUGCGAUGGCGCAUGCCUGUAGUCCCAGCUAUGUCAGGAAAUCGAGGCACGAGAAUUGCUUGAACCUAGGAGGUGGAGGUUGCAGUGGGCCGAUCAUGCCAGAGCACUCCAGCCUGGGCAACAGGGUGAGACCCUGUCUUAAAAAAAAGACCUUCAUCUUCUGUAUCUACUUUAUCACCUGGCAUCGUCUCACCUCCUCCAACUUCUCCACACCAUUAAUGAUCUCCCCCUCCUCUGUACUCCUAGGGGGUUCAGAAGCUCUGGGCACCAUUUAAAUAGUUCUCUGUGUUCUAUCGACGUCUGGUGCAAUGGAGAAGUCAGGAGAUGGUGCUUGAAUCCUGACUCUGUCACAGGCUGGCUGUGUGACCCUGCGAAAGCCACUUCUGUACUCUGAGCCUAGUUGCUCACUUGUAAAAUGAGGAGGUGGAAGCUAUGAUUGCCAGGGUCUCUCUAAUUUCUGACGUGUCCCAAUAAGAGGACAAACUGGUGGGGAAAGAAAGCAAUUUCAGUCAAGCAGAAACACAUGCUUGCCUUUCCUCACCCAGAAUGUGCUUUACAUAACCGAAUUUGCUUCCUUUUUUACUGGCUUGCCCUCCAGUCAGGAGGCAGGGGAGCAGCACGGCUGGCAGCAGCUUGGAGAGGGUGCGUGUACAGGGAUGGAUGUGGGGAGGGGAUGCUGAGGGAGGCUUUGUUGGCGAGUGAAUGAGGUACAGGCACCAAGAACUACUAGAAUUUUGUCACACUUCUUAUUACUGUGAUUAUGUUAUAUUAGAACGAAAAGACGCAGGGUAUUUAAAGUACAAAAACCUAGAGAAGAACUACUAAGGAACUUCUAGUCCCAUGAUUAUUCUAGAUAAAGCAUUCAGAAACUUUAGCUAUGCAAAUUAGAUUCGUUUUUGAAGAAAAUACUUACAUAUUAAGAAUUUUACAGCUGGGUGCGGCGGCUCACACCUGUAAUCCCAGCACUUUGGGAGGCCGAGAGGAAGGGGGUGAAUCACCUAAGGUUGGGAGUUCAAGACCAGCCUGGCCAACAUGGUGAAACCCCAUCUCUACUAAAAAUACAAAAAUUAGCCAGGCGUGGUAGAACGUGCCUGUAGUCCCAGCUAUUGGGAAGGCUGAGGCGUGAGAUUCACUUGAACCCAGCAGGCGGAGGUUGUAGUGAGCCGAGAUCGUGCGACUGUCCUCCAGCGUGGGUGACAGAGUGCGACUCUGUCUCAAAAAAAAAAAAAAAAAAAAAAAAAA
rnacentral:lncRNA from 1 species